AUGAAUGUGCACCAUAUUCCCAUCUUCUUCCUCCUACUCUUGAGUUCGUUCUGCAAAUCCGAUGAUCAGCUCACACGGGCAAAACCGCUCACCCACGGCGACACACUCAUCUCCAAGAGCGGGAACUUUGCUCUCGGCUUCUUCUCCACAACCAGCUCCAACAAGAGUUUUUACCUUGGCAUAUGGUACCACAGCAUCCCUGGCCCACGCACCGUUGUGUGGGUCGCCAAUCGAGACAACGCAAUCACCACCCCUUCAUCUACGAUGCUCUCCAUCACCACCAGUUCUGAUCUGGUGUUGUCUGACUCCAAAGGCCACGCUAUUUGGAGGGCUACAAGCAGUAUCACCACAGGAGGGGCGGAAGCUUACGCUUUGCUACUCAACUCAGGGAAUUUCGUCCUCCGAUUGCCAAACUCCACGGACGUGUGGCAAAGCUUUGAUCACCCGACGGACACACUACUUCCAACGAUGAAACUUUUAUUGAGCUACAAGGCCCAUGCCGUCGAGCGGCUCAUUGCUUGGAAGGGUCCGGAUGACCCGUCCUCUGGGGAUUUUCUCAUGCGGUGGCGACCCUCGCCGACCCUUCAGAGGCUAAUAUGGCAUGGGACCACGCCAUAUUCUCGCAGCAAUUUGGUUAAUGGCGUGUCGGUGUCCGGCGGCACAUACCUCAGCAACGCCAGCUCCAUUGUGUAUGAAACAAACAUCAAGCUGGGCGAUGAGUUCUACUAUAUGUUCACUGUCUCUGAUGGUUUACCGUUCACGCGUUUGACGCUUGACUACACAGGCGCGCUGAAGUCUCUAAAUUGGAACAGACACUCCUCAUCAUGGACAGUCCUGUUUGAGAGGCCCAAAGCUGCUUGCGACGUCUAUGCCUCAUGUGGCCCAUUCAGCUAUUGCGACCUCACUAGUACUGUCCCGGCAUGCAAAUGCUUCGAUGGGUUUGAGCCUGACAGUCUUAACUUUUCAAGCGGUUGUCGGCGAACAGAGGACCUGAAUUGUGGCAAGCAAAGUCAGUUCAUAACUUUGUCUGGGAUGAAGGUCCCUGACAAGUUCUUACAUUUAAAGAACAGAAGCUUCGAUGAGUGUGCCGCCGAGUGCAGCAACAACUGCUCAUGUACGGCGUAUGCUUACGCCAAUUUGAGCAGUGGUGGUGCUAACGAUGACCCGACAAGGUGCUUGGUUUGGACAAGGGAGCUUAUCGACACAGGAAAGUCGACUAACUCUGGCGAGAACCUGUACCUUCGCCUUGCUGAGUCUCCUGUUGACAACAGCAGUUCACUAAAGGUUUUACUCCCGAUUAUAGCAUUACUGUUGUUGCUGACAUGCAUUGUCCUCAUCUGGACUUACAAAUUCAGAGGAAAAUGGCGAAGGAAGGAAAACCAGAAGAAACUAAUGCGAGAAUACUUUAGCACAUCCGAUGAACUCGAAGGCAAAAGUACAGAAUUUCCAUUUAUUAGCUACAAAGAGAUCCUUUCAGCAACAAAUUUCUUCGCUGAUUCAAACUUGCUUGGACGGGGAGAUUUUGGCAAAGUUUACAAGGUAAUAUAAAGUGCUAUUUACAGUAGUUUUGGGGGCACAAUGGAAGGUGGAUAUGAGGUUGCUGUGAAAAGGCUUAGUCAGGGUUCUGGUCAAGGUAUUGUGGAGUUCAAAAAUGAAGUAGUUCUAAUUGCGAAACUGCAGCACAAAAACCUAGUCAGCCUUCAUGGGUGUUGCAUUCAGGAAGAUGAGAAGUUACUGAUCUAUGAAUACUUACCUAACAAAAGUUUGGAUGCCUUCCUUUUUGAUGUUGCACAAAAACACAUGCUUGACUGGUCGACACGGUUCAAAAUAGUUAAAGGAAUAGCAAGAGGUCUUCUUUAUCUCCAUCAAAAUUCAAGAUUAACAAUAAUUCACAGAGAUCUCAAAGCAAGCAACAUCUUGUUGGACGCAGAAAUGACUCCCAAAAUUUCAGAUUUUGGUAUGGCACGAAUAUUUGGUGCAAACCAGAAUCAUGCAAACACUACUAGGGUUGUCGGGACAUAUGGUUACAUGUCACCUGAAUAUGCGAUGGGAGGUGCAUUUUCUGUUAAAACAGACACAUAUAGCUUUGGUGUUCUUCUCUUGGAGAUUGUUAGUGGCCUGAAGAUCAGUUCACACUUGUUAACUUCAUCGUCACUUCAUUUUCUUGGUCAGGCGUGGAGACUAUGGGAAGUUGGAGAAGCAACUGAACUAGUGGACUCUUCUAUUGUCGUUAAUUGCUCACUUCAUGAAGUUCUACGGUGUGUUCAUAUCGGACUCUUGUGUGUUCAAGACCAUCCCAACGAUAGGCCACUAAUGUCAUCGGUUAUGCUUAUGCUGGAGAAUGAAAACACGCUUCUUCCAACUCCAAAGCAACCCGCCUAUUUUGCUCUAAGUAAUCGUGAAGGUCAAGAAGCAACAGAUAACAUGGAGAACUCUAUAAAUGCAAUUAGCAUCACAGCCUUGGAGGGUCGUUAA
rnacentral:rRNA from 1 species